rnacentral:misc_RNA from 1 species
AAAAUUUGUUAGAGAGAAGUGCUAAGAUGCAGCUGCUGGAUGGUUCUGUUAUACAGCUGGAUGAUAACUCAAGAAGCCUUAUUUUAAUUGCCCUUCAAGAAAUGUCUUGCAGUGCAUUACGGUGUUUGGGUUUUGCAUACAAAGAUGAGCUCCCUGAAUUUGACACAUAUGACGGCAGUGAAGAUCAUCCGGCUCAUGAGCUUUUACUUAAACCAUCUAAUUAUUCAUCAAUUGAGAGCCAACUGAUUUUUGUUGGCUUGGUUGGACUGAGGGAUCCUCCAAGGAAAGAGGUAUACCAAGCCAUUCAAGAUUGUAAACAAGCUGGCAUUCGUGUAAUGGUUAUCACUGGAGAUAACAAGAAUACAGCAG